CCUACGGGUGGCAGCAGUGGGGAAUAUUGCACAAUGGGCGCAAGCCUGAUGCAGCCAUGCCGCGUGUGUGAAGAAGGCCUUCGGGUUGUAAAGCACUUUCAGCGGGGAGGAAGGCGUUAAGGUUAAUAACCUUGUCGAUUGACGUUACCCGCAGAAGAAGCACCGGCUAACUCCGUGCCAGCAGCCGCGGUAAUACGGAGGGUGCAAGCGUUAAUCGGAAUUACUGGGCGUAAAGCGCACGCAGACGGUCUGUCAAGUCGGAUGUGAAAUCCCCGGGCUCAACCUGGGAACUGCAUUCGAAACUGGCAGGCUAGAGUCUUGUAGAGGGGGGUAGAAUUCCAGGUGUAGCGGUGAAAUGCGUAGAGAUCUGGAGGAAUACCGGUGGCGAAGGCGGCCCCCUGGACAAAGACUGACGCUCAGGUGCGAAAGCGUGGGGAGCAAACAGGGUUAGAUACCCGAGUAGUC
rnacentral:rRNA from 1 species